GGGAGUGGUUGGCAGUAGUAAAGCCUCUGCUUUGCAUUCAGGAGGCCCCGGGUUCAAUCCCUGGCAUUUCCA
rnacentral:tRNA from 1 species